rnacentral:lncRNA from 1 species
UCGACUAUAUCAGAUGACCAAUUGUUCAUGUUGUUAAACCCUAAUUCCUGCCAGAAGACGAGUUUUGUAAAUCUGGGAAAAUUAAUGCUUGUAGAUGAUAUUUGUUUCAAAAGUGAUUCUUGGCUAGCACCAAAUGAACUUCAAUCAAAUUUGAAGAUUUUAGAUGUGUUUCCAGCCACCGCAUAUGCGUAUUUCCUUGAAUUUCUUUGUCAGUAUCAUCUUAAUAAUGCCAGACAAUGUCA